CCUACGGGUGGCAGCAGUAGGGAAUCUUCCACAAUGGACGAAAGUCUGAUGGAGCAACGCCGCGUGAGUGAAGAAGGGUAUCGGCUCGUAAAGCUCUGUUGGUAGUGAAGACAGAUAGCGGUAGUAACUGGCCUUUAUUUGACGGUACUUACUUAGAAAGUCACGGCUAACUACGUGCCAACCGCCGCGGUAAUACGUAGGUGGCAACCGUUGUCCGGAUUUAUUGGGCGUAACGCGAGUGCAGGCGGUUCAAUAAGUCUGAUGGGAAAGCCUUCGGUUCAACCGGAGAAUUGCAUCAGAAACUGUUGAACUUGAGUGCAGAAGAGGAGAGUGGAACUCCAUGGGUAGCGGUGGAAUGCGUAGAUAUAUGGAAGAACACCAGUGGCGAAGGCGGCUCUCUGGUCUGCAACUGACGCUGAGGCUCGAAAGCAUGGGUAGCGAACAGGAUUAGAUACCCGGGUAGUC
rnacentral:rRNA from 1 species